rnacentral:ncRNA from 1 species
CUGCCCAGGGUAAGUCGGGACCUAAGGCGAGGCCGACAGGCGUAGUCGAUGGAUAACCGGUUGAUAUUCCGGUACCCGCUGUGAAGCGUCAAACAUCGAGCCCAUUAAUGCUAAGGCCGUGAAGCCGCCCUGGAGCCUUCGGGCAAAGGGGAGUGGUGGAGCCGCUGACCCAAGGUGGUAGUAGGUGAGUGAUGGGGUGACGCAGGAAGGUAGUCCAGCCCGGGCGGUGGUUGUCCCGGGGUAAGGGUGUAGGCCGUGCGGUAGGUAAAUCCGUCGCACAUUAAGGCUGAGACCUGAUGCCGAGCCGAUUGUGGUGAAGUGGAUGAUCCUAUGCUGUCGAGAAAAGCCUCUAGCGAGUUUCAUGGCGGCCCGUACCCUAAACCGAC